AAAAUGGAAGGCGGUUAAGCGCGCGACCUAUACCCGAUCAUCGGGGCAAUUGCCAGGCCUCGAUGAGUAGGAGGUGCGGCGGUCACUGGAAAUUGUCGCGAGCUUGGGAGGGGCUUCCAUCGGUGCAGAUCUUAGUGGUAGUAGCAAAUAUUCAAAUGAGAACUUUGAAGUACGAAGAGAGAAAAGGUUCCAUGUGAACGGCACUUGCAUAUGGGUUAGCCGAUCCUAAGGGUUGGGGAAACCCUGACAGAUAGCAAAUUUUGUGCGUACUCUAAAAGGGAAUUGGGUUAAAAUUCCUGAACCGAGGUAUGGCGGUCGACGGCAUCGUUANNNNNNNNNNNNNNACGUCGGCGGGAGCCUCGGGAAGAGUAAUAUUUUUUGUUUAACAGCCUGUCCUCCCUGAAAUUGGCUCAGCAGGAGGUAACGUCCAGAAGCUGGAAAAGCACCGCACUUUGCGUGGUGUCCGAUGCACUCCCAGCGGCCCUUGAAAAUAUAGAGAACUGAAUGUCGUCCACACUCAGUCGUACUCAUAACUGCAUCAGGUCUCCAAGGUGAAAACGCUCUGGUCGAUAGAACAAUGUAGGCAAGGGAAGUUGGAAAAAUAGAUUCAUAACUUCGGGAAAAGGAUUAGCUCUGAGGGAUGGGAAUGGGCAUCCCAUUCCCGAACCCGUCAGCUGUCGGUGGACUACUCAAGCUGCUUUCGCGGCUAGGGGUGGGCAUGGUGUGGUAUAUACCAAAUACCAGAUCGAAACCAAAAAUUUUUAUACUGCGAUAUGGAUGUUAUGUAUUAGGUAUGGUAUUUGGUAGAAAUUUUAAUUUAUUUUGGUAUUUGGUACGGUAUUUGGUAUUUAUGUAAUAAAUACAAAAAUAUCAUAUACCGGACAAAAGUUUUUAAAUAACAUAUAAAAUCCACAUAUAUAUUAUAUUUCAGAUUAUUAAAUAUAUUUAUAUAUCAUCCAUUAGCCAAUUGAACAUAAAAGUAACUUUAAUUAAGAAAUAAAUUUUUGGGGAAGCUUAUUAUUUAGGAGUACUAUGCUUAAGUUUAGGUAAUGUUGUUGAGAGUUUGCAUCUCGUACUAUUCAAUAGUAAUUGAAAUGUUCUUUUGGUCUAAUUGAUUAAAAAAGAUAGUUGUUAGUCUAAUAUGAUUGAGACAUUUUUAAAAUUUAAAGUAAUAGUUUUUUUAUAUGAAUAUAUGUAAGUAGAAAUCAAAUAGAGUAUGGUUACCGAAUUACAAAACAAACAAACAAACAACAAACCCAGUGUAUUCCCACUUAGUGGGGUCUGGGGGGGGUAAGAUGUACACAAUCCAUACCUCUACCUCUGAUGAAGUGGAAAGGUUGUUUCCGAAAGACCCCCGGCUCAGGCACAAGAUAUCACACAAACACAUAGUAAAGCUAUGGUUACCGAAUUACCAUACCAUAAAAUACCAAAACCGAAUUUAAAAAUACCAAACGAUACCGAACUAAUUUGGUAUGGUAAUUGUAUUUUUCUUUUAGAUACCAAAAACCGAAGUUACCGUACCGAAUUUUAAAAUAUCAUACUGUAUCGUACCAUGCCCACCCCUACCAGCAAUGAGAGAGGGUCACCGCGGGCUGGCCGAGGGACGAAUUGGGAACGGUUCCAUCGUGGCCCUUCCUAGCGCGUUGAACAGCCAACUCAGAACUGGUACGGACAAGGGAGAUCCUACAAUUUAAUUAAAACAAAGCAUUACGAUGGUCCCAACGGAUAUUCACGCAACGUGAUUUCUACCCAGUGCACUGAAUGUCAAAGUGAAGAAAUUCAACCAAGCGCGUGUAAACGACGGGAGUAACUAUGACUCUCUUGAGGUAGCCAAAUGUCUCAUCAUCUAAUUAGGGACGCACAUGAAUGGAUUAACGAGAUUCCCACAGUCCCUGUAUACUAUCCAGCGAAACCAUAGCCAAGGGAAUGGGCUUGGCAGAAUCAACGAGGAAAGAAGACCCUAUUGAGCUUGACUCUAGUCCGAAUUUGUAAAAUGGACUUGAGAGGUGUAGUAUAAGUGGGAGCUAAAAGACGAAACUAAAAUACCACUACUUUUAACAUUAUUUUACUUAUUCUGAGAGUCAAAAGUGGGGCACUGCCCCUUCUUUAAGACCCAAGACUCGCUCUACAGGCCGAUCCGAGUGGAAGAAAUUGAUAGGUGGGGAAUUUGGCAGGGGCGGGACAUCUGUUAAAACGUAACACAGGUGUCCUAUGAUGAGCUCAACAAGAACAGAAAUUUAAUGUGGAACAAAAGGGUAAAUGUUCAUUUGAAUCUGAUUUCCUGUAUGAAUACAAACUGUGAAAGCGUGGCCUAACGAUCCAUUAAACCUUCGAAAUUCGAAUCUAGAGGUGCCAGAAAAGUUACCAUAGGGAUAACUAGCAUGUGGCAGCCAAGCAUUCAUAGCGCCAUUACUUUUUUAUCCUUUGGUGUCUUCUCUACCAAUCAUUGUGAAGUAAAAUUCACCAAGUGUUGGAUUGUUCACCAUUCAAUAGGGAACGUGAGCUAAGAUUAGACCAUUAUGAGACAGGUUAGUUUUAUCCUACUGAUGAUAGUGUCGACAUAGUAAUUCAACCUAGUAUGAAAGGAACCAUUAAUUCAAACAUUAAUUUAUCGUGCGUGGUUAAAAAGCCAGUGCGCGAAGCUACCGUGUGUUGGAUUAUGACUAAACGUCUCUAGGUCAUAAUCUGGGCUAGAAGCGAUGCAUGCUCCCUCUGUCCUCUUACCGACCCGUAGUAGGGGUCUCGACCCACAAGGGCACGUGUUGUUGGCUAAGCCAUCACAGCGGAAAGGUCGCAGUGGCCUCCUUGAAGUACAAUUUCCAUUCAGCGGAAGGUAGAAUCCUUUGCAGAUAUGUUAAAUAUGCGAUAGGGUAUUGUAAGUGAAAAAGUGGCCUUGCUGCCAUGAUCCACUGAUAUUCAGCUCUUUGUCGCUCCAGUUCAUCCCUCCACCUCU
rnacentral:rRNA from 1 species